rnacentral:lncRNA from 1 species
CCCCCCUCCGAAUUCUGGACCUCGACCAUCACCUAAGGAGCCACCUCGGCAACAUACCAAUGAGGACAAUAGAUGACCAUGACUUGACUCUUCCAAAUUGACUCCUUUGACCCAGUUGGACUCCGCAUGAUCCAAACUAUUUUCAUUUCUCUUGUUUGUAUGCAUGUGGGCUAAUAUUUCUGCCAUCAUGCACAUGACAACCUUCCACAAUGGAAGUGUGUGAUGUGGGCGCGUGUGAUCUGGCCCCAUUAUUGAAUGCCAUAGUAA